rnacentral:rRNA from 1 species
GAUGAACGCUGGCGGCGUGCCUAAUACAUGCAAGUCGAGCGAACGGACGAGAAGCUUGCUUCUCUGAUGUUAGCGGCGGACGGGUGAGCAACACGUGGAUAACCUACCUAUAAGACUGGGAUAACUUCGGGAAACCGGAGCUAAUACCGGAUAAUAUUUUGAACCGCAUGGUUCAAAAGUGAAAGACGGUCUUGCUGUCACUUAUAGAUGGAUCCGCGCUGCAUUAGCUAGUUGGUAAGGUAACGGCUUACCAAGGCAACGAUGCAUAGCCGACCUGAGAGGGUGAUCGGCCACACUGGAGCUGAGACACGGUCCAGCCUCCUACGUGAGGCAGCAGUAGGGAAUCUUCCGCAAUGGGCGAAAGCCUGACGGAGCAACGCCGCGUGAGUGAUGAAGGGCUUCGGAUCGUAAAACUCUGUUAUUAGGGAAGAACAUAUGUGUAAGUAACUGUGCACAUCUUGACGGUACCUAAUCAGAAAGCCACGGCUAACUACGU